rnacentral:rRNA from 1 species
UUGCACGCUGGCGGCAGGCCUAACCCAUGCAAGUCGAGCGGAUGAAGGGAGCUUACUCCUGGAUUCAGCGGCGGACGGGUGAGUAAUGCCUAGGAAUCUGCCUGGUAGUGGGGGAUAACGUCCGGAAACGGGCGCUAAUACCGCAUACGUCCUGAGGGAGAAAGUGGGGGAUCUUCGGACCUCACGCUAUCAGAUGAGCCUAGGUCGGAUUAGCUAGUUGGUGGGGUAAAGGCCUACCAAGGCGACGAUCCGUAACUGGUCUGAGAGGAUGAUCAGUCACACUGGAACUGAGACACGGUCCAGACUCCUACGGGAGGCAGCAGUGGGGAAUAUUGGACAAUGGGCGAAAGCCUGAUCCAGCCAUGCCGCGUGUGUGAAGAAGGUCUUCGGAUUGUAAAGCACUUUAAGUUGGGAGGAAGGGCAGUAAGUUAAUACCUUGCUGUUUUGACGUUACCAACAGAAUAAGCACCGGCUAACUUCGUG